UGCCCAGCAACUCCUAUCCCUACCUACUCGCGGUACUGGCCGGGAAGAUCGGGUAGCCAACCCCGGUGGGAACUCUGGUCGUAUGCUGACAGGGAAGG
rnacentral:ribozyme from 1 species